rnacentral:pre_miRNA from 1 species
UUUAAGUCUAACCGUAAAUUUUCGUGUUCAACUUUAAUAGUUUAUCUUAUUUAUUUUUAAAAAAAAAUAAAAACAUAAGUCACACAAAGUAAUAUUCAUGUUUUAUCGUCUAGUAUCAAUAAAAAUAUCAAUCAUAUAAAAAACUUUUAAAUAAAACGGAUUAAAGUUGGACACGGAAACUCAUGAUUGUAUUUAAA